AAGGCCGAGAGGCGAGACGAACGCCCCACGGGGCGGAAGUCAUCGAUGCCACGCUUCCAGGAAAAGCCUCUAAGCUUCAGAUCACGUGAGACCGUACCCCAAACCGACACAGGUGGUCAGGGUGAGAAUCCCCAGGCGCUUGAGAGAACUCGGGUGAAGGAACUAGGCAAAAUGGUGCCGUAACUUCGGGAGAAGGCACGCCGGCCUAGGGUGAAAGCACUUGCUGCUGGAGCCCGAACCGGUCGAAGAUACCAGGUGGCUGCAACUGUUUAUUAAAAACACAGCACUCUGCCAACGCGUAAGCGGACGUAUAGGGUGUGACGCCUGCCCGGUGCCGGAAGGUUAAGUGAUGGCGUUAGGUUCGCCGAAGCGCUUGAUCGAAGCCCCGGUAAACGGCGGCCGUAACUAUAACGGUCCUAAGGUAGCGAAAUUCCUUGUCGGGUAAGUUCCGACCUGCACGAAUGGCGUAAUGAUGGCCACGCUGUCUCCACCCGAGACUCAGUGAAAUUGAAAUCGCCGUGAAGAUGCGGUGUACCCGCGGCUAGACGGAAAGACCCCGUGAACCUUUACUAUAGCUUCACACUGGACGCUGAUGUUGCUUGUGUAGGAUAGCUGGGAGGCUAGGAACCCCGGACGCCAGUUCGGGGGGAGCCGACCUUGAAAUACCAGCCUGGCAUCAUCGGCGUUCUAACUUGGCACCGUGAUCCGGUGUGAGGACAGUGUGUGGUGGGUAGUUUGACUGGGGCGGUCUCCUCCCAAAGCGUAACGGAGGAGCACGAAGGUACCCUCAGCACGGUCGGACAUCGUGCAAUGAGUGCAAGAGCAUAAGGGUGCUUGACUGCGAGACAGACACGUCGAGCAGGUGCGAAAGCAGGUUCUAGUGAUCCGGUGGUUCUGUAUGGAAGGGCCAUCGCUCAACGGAUAAAAGGUACUCCGGGGAUAACAGGCUGAUACCGCCCAAGAGUUCACAUCGACGGCGGUGUUUGGCACCUCGAUGUCGGCUCAUCACAUCCUGGGGCUGAAGUCGGUCCCAAGGGUAUGGCUGUUCGCCAUUUAAAGUGGUACGCGAGCUGGGUUUAGAACGUCGUGAGACAGUUCGGUCCCUAUCUGCCGUGGGCGCUGGAUGUUUGAGAAGGGCUGCUCCUAGUACGAGAGGACCGGAGUGGACGCACCUCUGGUGUUCCGGUUGUCACGCCAGUGGCACUGCCGGGUAGCUAUGUGCGGACGGGAUAACCGCUGAAGGCAUCUAAGCGGGAAGCCCCCUUCAAGAUGAGACAUCCCCGAGGCCUCGAGCCUCCU
rnacentral:rRNA from 1 species